AAUGAACGCUGGCGGCGUGGUUAAGACAUGCAAGUCGAACGGUUUUUGUUGUGUAGCAAUACAUAAACAAAAGCAGUGGCGAACGGGUGCGUAACACGUGAACAAUCUACCUUCAAAUGGGGAAUAGCUCGCCGAAAGGCGAAUUAAUACCGCAUGUGGUUGCCUCUCGCAUGAGAAGCAUACCAAAGUCAGGGACCGCAAGGCCUGACGUUAGAAGAGGAGUUCGCGGCCUAUCAGCUAGUUGGCGAGGUAACGGCUCACCAAGGCUAAGACGGGUAGCUGGUCUGAGA
rnacentral:rRNA from 1 species